UGUGUUUGUUGUAAGGGCGCACGGUGGAUGCCUGGGCAUGUCAAGCCGAUGAAGGACGUGAAGGGCUGCGUUAAGCCUCGGGGAGUUGCCGAUUAAGCGUUGAUCCGAGGAUGUCCGAAUGGGGAAACCCGGCCGUGGUUAUGUGCGGUCACCUGCUGCUGAAUGAAAUAGGUGGUAUGGGGGUUACGCGGGGAAGUGAAACAUCUCAGUACCCGUAGGAGAAGAAAACAAUAUGUGAUUCCGUUAGUAGUGGCGAGCGAAGGCGGAGAUGAUGGCUAAACUCUAUGCGUGGAUGAUACUUGGUAGGGGUUGCGUGUAGGGGGUUGUGGGAUGCGUGUGUCUGGCUGGCUACCACUGGCUGGCACCCUUGGAUUGUGUGUUAGGGGAAGUGGUGUGGAAUCGCCUGCCGUAGACGGUGACAGUCCGGUACCUGAAGACAUGUGGUUGGGGUGUGUGCGUAUUUUCCCGAGUAGCAGCGGGCUCGUGGAAUCUGCUGUGAAUCUGCCGGGACCACCCGGUAAGCCUGAAUACUUGGCGUGACCGAUAGUGCAAUAUAGUACCGUGAGGGAAGGGUGAAAAGUACCCCGGGAGGGGAGUGAAAUAGUUCCUGAAACCGUGUGCUUACAAUCCGUCAUAGCCCC
rnacentral:ncRNA from 1 species